rnacentral:lncRNA from 1 species
ACCACCCAGGUUCAAGCGAUUCUCCUGCCUCUGCCUCCCGAGUAGCUGGGAUUACAGGCAUGUGCCACCACGCCCGGCUAAUUUUUGUAUUUUUAGUAGAGACGGGGUUUCACCAUGUUGGCUAGGCUGGUCUCAAACUCCUGACGUCAGGUGAUCUGCCUGCCUCAGCCUCCCAAAGUGCUGGGAUUAUAGGCGUGAACCACCUGGUGGCUCACGCCUAUAGUUCCAGCACUUUGGGGGGCCGAGGCGGGCAGAUGGUCUGAGGUCAGGAGUUCGAGACCAGCCUGGCCAACAUGGCGAA